GACGAACGCUGGCGGCGUGCUUAACACAUGCAAGUCGAACGGAAAGGCCCCUUUUGGGGUACUCGAGUGGCGAACGGGUGAGUAACACGUGAGUAACCUGCCCUUGACUUCGGGAUAACUUCAGGAAACUGGGGCUAAUACCGGAUAGGAAUCCUUGCUGCAUGGUGGGGGUUGGAAAGCUUCGGCGGUUUUGGAUGGACUCGCGGCUUAUCAGCUUGUUGGUGGGGUAGUGGCUUACCAAGGCUUUGACGGGUAGCCGGCCUGAGAGGGCGACCGGCCACAUUGGGACUGAGAUACGGCCCAGACUCCUACGGGAGGCAGCAGUGGGGAAUAUUGCACAAUGGGCGGAAGCCUGAUGCAGCAACGCCGCGUGCGGGAUGACGGCCUUCGGGUUGUAAACCGCUUUCAGCAGGGGCGAAGCUUUUGUGACGGUACCUGCAGAAGAAGCACCGGCUAACUACGUG
rnacentral:rRNA from 1 species